UAACAAGAGGAUUUGGUGGUGUGUGUG
rnacentral:piRNA from 1 species